rnacentral:lncRNA from 1 species
AAUUUUCGAUCCACAAACAGACAAACCUACGAUCCUAACAUGCCAAACACCCACCAUAUUACCAAGAGCAUACCCUAUACCACCACCAACAAGUAGAUCAUCAUCAAGACACCCAACAUCGCCAUACACCCAACACAUCGCCCUACCAUAGCCGCCUUAGCCAAAACACUCAGCGAUCAUUUAACACCAAUCGUCCAUCCUCUUACUAUAGCCAAAAAGCUCAAAC